ensembl:snRNA U6 U6 spliceosomal RNA
GCCCCCCUCAGCAGCGCAUAUACUAAACCUGGGACAAUACAGAGAAGGGAAAUGUGGCCUUUGCACAAGGGUGACACAAAUUCGUGGAGCGUUCCGUGUUUUU